rnacentral:rRNA from 1 species
CCUACGGGAUGCAGCAGUGAGGAAUAUUGGUCAAUGGCCGGAAGGCUGAACCAGCCAUGCCGCGUGAAGGUCAGUGCCCUAUGGGCGUUAAACUUCUUUUGUGCGGGAGCAAUAAUGGUCACGUGUGGCCAGACGAGAGUACCGUACGAAUAAGCAUCGGCUAACUCCGUGCCAGCAGCCGCGGUAAUACGGGGGAUGCAAGCGUUAUCCGGAUUUUUUGGGUUUAAAGGGUGCGUAGGCUGUGAGGUAAGUCAGCGGUGAAAUGCCCCCGCUCAACGGGGUGAAGUGCAAUUGAUACUGCCUGGCUGGAAUGCGGAUGCCGUGGGAGGAAUGUGUGGUGUAGCGGUGAAAUGCAUAGAUAUCACACAGAACACCGAUUGCGAAGGCAGCUCACUGGACUGCAACUGACACUGAGGCUCGAAAGUGUGGGUAUCAAACAGGAUUAGAUACCCGUGUAGUC